rnacentral:rRNA from 1 species
GGUAACCUGCGGAGGGAUCAUUACACAAAUAUGAAGGCGGGCUGGAACCUCUCGGGGUUACAGCCUUGCUGAAUUAUUCACCCUUGUCUUUUGCGUACUUCUUGUUUCCUUGGUGGGUUCGCCCACCACUAGGACAAACAUAAACCUUUUGUAAUUGCAAUCAGCGUCAGUAACAAAUUAAUAAUUACAACUUUCAACAACGGAUCUCUUGGUUCUGGCAUCGAUGAAGAACGCAGCGAAAUGCGAUAAGUAGUGUGAAUUGCAGAAUUCAGUGAAUCAUCGAAUCUUUGAACGCACAUUGCGCCCUUUGGUAUUCCAAAGGGCAUGCCUGUUCGAGCGUCAUUUGUACCCUCAAGCUUUGCUUGGUGUUGGGCGUCUUGUCUCUAGCUUUGCUGGAGACUCGCCUUAAAGUAAUUGGCAGCCGGCCUACUGGUUUCGGAGCGCAGCACAAGUCGCACUCUCUAUCAGCAAAGGUCUAGCAUCCAUUAAGCCUUUUUCAACUUUGACCUCGGAUCAGUAGGAUCCCCGUUUCA